rnacentral:rRNA from 1 species
GGACUACUCGGGUAUCUAAUCCCGUUCGCUACCCUAGCUUUCGCGUCUCAGCGUCAGUAGACGUCCAGGACCUCGCUUUCGCCACGGGCGUUCCUUCCGAUCUCAACGCAUUUCACCGCUCCACCGGAAGUUCCAGGUCCCCCUACGUCCCUCCAGACGGGUCGUUUCGGUGCCAGUUCCCCGGUUGAGCCGGGGGAUUUCAACGACCGACGUUCCCAUCCGCCUACACGCGCUUUAAGCCCAGUGAUUCCGAAUAACGUUCGCACGGUUCGUCUUACCGCGGCGGCUGGCAC